rnacentral:lncRNA from 1 species
AUACUUCUAAGGUUCGAUUGACAUGAUUGGGGAAAUAUGCUAUAACUGUUGCACAAUUUUAUCCACUCACACCUCUUGGUAGAGAGAGUGAUUUUGCCCAAUUGACUUUCUCGAGACCAAAUGGGUAGGCAAAUUAGCUCAAGCAACUAGGGUUCAAGUUGGGUAAUUACUCUCUCGAGUCCAUCCCAAUUCCUUGUUGGGUCAAUUUUGGAGACUUAGGCUCUCUUUCUCAAGAAGAGCCCAAGUCAACUUAGCAAAAACCAGUUUGCAACCACCAAUUCAUAGAUUAAACCAUAAAAUUGACCCAAAUAACAAACACCUGAAUCUAACAACACUAGCUAAUGGGUUUAGCUACUCCUGCUUGAAGAAGAAAAUAAAAAAAUAGAUGAAGAAAUUAAUUAAAAGCUAAUGUAUUUACAGAGAAUCUAUUGUUAAAUCUAAGUUAAGAUGCCAAAAAUGGCUACACAGCUUCUCACGAGCACAACUUCAUUCUCUAAACUCAGGACCGCACAAAAUGGACUGCGGCCGCACUAGGUCUUGGCUCUCUAAACUCAGGCUCCGCGAACCACGGCCGCGGAGGCAACUAGCGCAGUCCGCACAAACAUGACCGCGUACCACAUGGGUUUGAUGUUGGCACUGGACAUCUCUCUAAUCUUCUCCUCCGCGGACUGCACAAAAUAGUAGUGCGGUCGCGAAGCCUUCAGUGCGGAGUGCGCAAGAUCGGAUGCAGCCAGCACUGCCUUGAAGCUUAAUUUGCUACUUCUCUGAAUCCCCUAGUGCGGACUGCACAAAGUGUAGUGCGACCGCACUAGGCCUUUUUGUCCUGAGUUUGCCUUUUCUUUGGUACUUGAGCAGGUUUCACUCCUUUGAGCCGAUCUUUGACAUUUCGUCACUUUGUCGAUCAAGCCUGCAAUCAAGACAACUUAUGAGCCUUUUGGGACUACUUUGUAAGAAUUUAUAAUCAAAGCUUAAGUAGGAAGGAGCAUAAAACAUGUCAAAAUUCCUAGUUAUCAGAAUGAUAUCUUGCUAUAGGGAGUGAAAUGUUCAUUGUUGUUUAAAAAAUUCUUAAUGCUUUAAGGCACGAAUAUCGAGAAAUUUCAUGACGAACCAAGCUUGUUAAAGGAUUUACGGGCAAACCUUAUAAAAAUAAAAGGACAUCUUAAUUAUAUUCUAAGAAUUGGAGUGGACCUAGGAGAAAUCUGAACCUAAAUAAAUACUUAAACGGCGCUCUAGAAUCAUUAAAGAGCACUAAGCGCGGAACAUUUGGUGGUUAUUAUUAUUAUUAUUAAUUCGAGAAGAUAAGAAUGUAAAAUGUAUGAACAUAUAAAGUAUAUAAAAAUGUAUCAUAACAAUAAAAAACACACAAAUUAAAUUUUAUUAUUAAUUUAAUUAAUUAUCGGAUCAAAUUAAUUUUAAUCCAACAUAAUAAGGCCCCAGCAGAGUCGCCAAGCUGUUAUACCCCAUUUUAAAACGGGUCAAAUUAGAGUAUAACAUAUUGGUACUUCUGAGAUUUAAUUAAUUAAAGAGAAUCGUCACCUAAUUAUUUUAAUGGUAAAUUAGGACACCAAUUUUAGCUAAGUAAUGCUUAAAGUUAACUCUAUUUUAAGGCAUGCUUAACUUAAGAUUAUGGGUAAAGGUUCUAAUUAAUCCUAUAGGGAAGGUUGUAAAAGCAUUCUAUAUGAUCCGCUAAUUACAGUUAACCGGCCAAACUUAGGUUAAUUAAUUGAAAACUCUGUUGCUUAGAAAAAUUAUUGGAAGGGAGAAUGAUUAACUAAAUUAAAUUAGGGACAACAUAAUAAGGCGACACUGACUAAUUCUUUAUUUUAAAAGACUCAAAAAUUGAAAAUCAUUUUGAGCCUAGAAUUUGGUUCAAAGUAGACCAACAUAUGACACGAAAUAAUUUUGAAGGAAAAUAUUGAAACUUCGAAAAGAUGAAACUAACUUUUAAAGAAACAUUAUGUUCAUUAAAACAUUUCAAAGGGGUAAGGGGUAAUAGGUUUAAGAGUCAGUUUUGACUUGAAUAAAUCAAUAGCUCAAAUAUCAUUCUUAAAGGAACAAGCUAAAGGGAAAAAUGUUCCUACGUUAAACAUUGUUUAAAGAAAAGUAAGUUUUAAUACAAACUCCUAUUGAACUUUAAUCUCGAUUUUAGUUAAGAAGGCAACUUAUAGUAUGCCCAAAAGACAGAAUGCAACUUCACUUGUUAAUCGACAUUAAGACAAAAUACUUCUAUUGCAUAAUAUUAAAGUAGGAAAGCUGUGGUUAAUCCUAAUUGCUUAAUAAAUUAUCUAAUAACUGAAACAUCACAUAUUGAUCCAAAUAUAUCAUUCUUGUUUAAAUAACACAAGUAUAGCACAAAUGAGCUUCAAUACACAAGAUUAUUACAUAAACGACACCUAUGUCGCGAUUUCUAUGCAGUAAAUAAUUGCAUGUCUUCAAACCAACAUUUAUUAUGAACCUAAAACGGUAACAAGGGAAAAGAAUGAUUGAAAGUUACGGACCUUUUUGCGGGCAGCGAACCGAGGCGGGGUCUUAGAUGCACUAUUGAACUCCGACUUCGAACUCUCUACCUUAGACGAUCGGUAGUCGCCAGAAUAAGCAAAUAAACCAUUGUAAUGGCUAAAAAUACAAAGAGAGCUAGAGAACUUUGUUUUUUAAUUAGAGGAAAAGGAAAUGCAUUAAUAGAGGUGGCUGAAAACUCUCGACUUUGGGGUAAAAGUGGGCGGCUCUAGGGCUCCCCUUAAAUGAGUUUCAGAGCCGGUAUUUAUAGAUAGAAGUUAGGGUUCUUGAGAGGGAUUUUUCAAAUUCAAAUUUUAAAUUUCGGUUAACAUAUCCGUUUGAAUCCGAACGUUGGAGGUUUGGACGGAUUCACGUGAUUUCCUCUGUUCUUGCCCGAAUUGGUGAGAUUUUUGACUGAGACAUUAAAGAUUUGCAGGUUAUCGAGCACAAAUGCAGAAGAGCAAAGAAAGAGAUGUAUUUGCACAAAAAUGAUGCAACAUCAUUUGAUUAAAAGGUGUCAAGGCUUGGAGGUUUCUAAAAAUGAAGAAGGUGACAAAGGAAGGUGGACAGAGGCGCUGCUGUGUUUUCUUACUAGGUUAGAAAUUAAGGAAUAAAAUAUUUGAAGGGGUGUUGGGCCGAUUGGGCUGAGCUUCAGGCGGGUUUGGGGCAUAAGCUUGGCCGAACUGGGCCUACUCUUAGGGCUAGAGAUUGUAUUGAAUUUUAGGUGACUAGAUAUUGG